CUUCACCGUGCCGAGCAGCAGCGGACGGUCCUCCGGCCGGUGCUGCCCGUAGGUCGCCAGCAGCGCCUGGGCCUC
rfam:Streptomyces albireticuli strain MDJK11, complete genome.